UUUUGGACGUAAAUUAACCGGAGUACUAUGAAUAUUUAAAUAUUUAAAACUUAAAGAACUUGGCGGUGUUUUAGACCACUUAGGGGAACCUGUCUCGUAAUCGACAAUCCGCGUUAAACCUGACCUUUUCUUGUUAUCAGUUUGUAUACCGUUGUCGUCAGGUAACUUUUUAGAAAUUAGAAGUUAGCGAUAAAAGCAUGACUUAGGACGUCAAAUCAAGGUGCAGCUAACGAAAAGGGGAGGAUGGGUUACAAUUAUUAUUUAUAAUAACGGAAGGUGGACUUGAAAGUAAAUUAGAUAUAGAUAGUUUGAAUAAGGCUCUGAAACGUGU
rnacentral:rRNA from 1 species